GUGAAGCGACAAAAUGUUUGGUAAUGUAUUAGUGAAUACUUUCUGUGUGCAUCACUUAUGCAGAGGCCAGGGUCAUCCCCUUUCUGAAGAAAAUGUAUUAGUGAACACUGUACAUAUUUGCUCGGUUAUCAUGUCUUGCUGUUCGUGGCCAUUACACUGCACACCAUCAGGCAAAAUAAGGCAACGAAGGCAUACAAGUAUAUUGCAAGGUCAAUGCUAUAUGUGUAUGUAUGUAUGGAUGGAUAGGUGCUACUGAAGUGAGAUUCCGAGAAAAUCUGCAUACAAGUAAUAUCGCAAGAUAAAAUGCAUGUUUCUCAGGAGACAAAGACUGCAGUUAAUUCCGAAGGAGAAUAGCAACCUUUGCUUCUGCUAGGUUCAAUGAGCAUAUGGUAAAGGAAGGUAUCAGUGGAUUCACCAACGUAGAUUACAAGAGUAAAGGUUUAUCUAAUGAGGCCUUGUCGCGGCGCUGCAAGUGUUGCCCCCUCCUCCCCAAGGGCAAGGUGAAGGAAGGUGCCUGUGUGGUUCUUCUGCAGCUCGCAGCGAGGAUUGCUGUGUCCAACCUGCACAAAAAUGCCAAGAAGUCUUUCUCGGAGAUGAUUAAGGACAUGUACCUGCACUACAAUGAGAGAUAUGGGCUUCUUUGUGGCUUCCAAACUUGAAAUGUUUGUUUGGAAGUUAGGUUAGUUUUUUGUUGUUGAUUCACAGCUUCUCACAUAUACUGUCCUCUUAAACCUUUAGAUUUCCAAAGAAACUAAAUGAAGAUACGGUGGUAUGGUCUCAGUAGUACAACUUAAAGCCUUCGCUUUAUAUUUUCUCUGAAAUUUGCUCUUGAAGAAUCAUGUAUCUAUGUUAGAUCCGGUGAGAAAAGGCGGCUUCCAAGUAGAGGAUGCGGGAGUGUUGGCCA